rnacentral:lncRNA from 1 species
AAAAAAAAAAGUUAACAAUUACAGGGAAAGAUUUAAAAAAAUCAUCCUGAGCACAUAAGUGAAAGAAGUGUAUAGAAGCCUUUUUCAGGAGAAACCUUGUCUGAAUGUAAAACUUCUGGGUUUUGUUGUUUUUUUAAGGUUGCAUGUUACUGAACCAACCUGCUACCGCAGAGUGUAGAAACAGCAAAAUCACCCCCGACACCAUGUCCAGCUGUCCAAACAGUGGUGACGUUUUCAGCUUGAUGUGGUAAGAUGAUGACCUUGGUACAGUGUAAAUACUUGUGCCAUUCCAGGCACAGUUUCUUAUGGGCCCCACAAGGUUGUCCAGAAUCUCUUGGAGUUGUACCUAAUGUUCUUACCAGUUUGUAUCUAAAUCUACUGGGGGAGUGGAACAGUUUCACUUUUUUCUUUUUGGUGCUGGGGAUUGAACCCAUUCUGAGUACAUACUCUGCCACUAAGCUACACCUUAUAUUAGCUUUCCCAUUGCUGGGACAAAAUACUUGAUACCCACAACUCAAAGGAGGGGAGGUUAGGGGAUUCAGUCCAUUUGUCAGUUGUCUCCAAAGUAGAAACAGCAUGGUGGAAGGUCCUGAUGGAGGAAUGCUACUCAAUCCAUGACAGCCAGGAAGCAGAGAGGGGAAGAGCUAGAGACUAGAUACAAAUAUAGUACAUAUCAAGCCAUACCCCUAGUGCCCAGGAUCCAGUCAUCUUCCCACAGCCCCACCUCUAAACACAUGAGACUUGGGGGACAUUCUAGAUCUAAGUCUUAAUACACCCAAACCCAAGAAUUUCUUAAAUUUCAGUAAUAGAAGUGGGGAGUAUUAACUGUCAUUAUUUAAAUACCAGUAGCUUUUGAUCUUUAAUUCUGCAUUUUAUAGUUACAAGUUCAGAGACAUAAUUGCCUUGUCUCAUUAUUACAGUUUUUAUUGUUGGGUGUUUUUUCAUUUUGUCUUUACAAUGAUGAAGUGAAUUUCAUAUAUGAUUUCUUAUGUGUAUCCACGAGUUUUCUUCAAAAUGUAUACCUGAAAGCAAAGUUUUUUUUUUUAAGGUAUAUGCUUGAUCAGCUUUAUGAGUUUUAUAAGAUAAGGUGGAGUUGUUUUCCAUAAUGGCAUUGCCAAUUCACAAUAUGACUUCUCAUUCAGUUGGUAUUGUAAGGCCUAAUUCUUGCCAAUAUAGUAGGUGUUAAAUGAUAGUAU